rnacentral:rRNA from 1 species
UGGGGAAUUUUGCACAAAGGAGGAAACUCUGAUGCAGCGACGCCGCGUGAGUGAUGAAGAUCUUCGGAUUGUAAAACUCUGUCCUUAGUGAAGAUAAUGACAGUAACUAAGAAGCAAGCCCUGGCUAAAUACGUGCCAGCAGCCGCGGUAAUACGUAUGGGGCAAGCGUUGUCCGGAAUUAUUGGGCGUAAAGGGUACGUAGGCGGUUUAAUAAGUCCUAAUUAAAAGGCUAUGGCUCAACCAUAGUAUGGUUAGGAAACUGUUGAACUUGAGUAGGUAAGGGGAAAGUGGAAUUCCAUGUGUAGCGGUGAAAUGCGUAGUUAGAUGGGGGAACACCAAUGGCGAAGGCAACUUUCUGGAAUCAAACUGACGCUGAGGUACGAAGGCGUGGGGAGCAAACAGG